UGAGCCUUGAUGUGUAGGAUAGGUGGGAGGCUUUGAAGUGUGGACGCCAGUCUGCAUGGAGCCGACCUUGAAAUACCACCCUUUAAUGUUUGAUGUUCUAACGUGGACCCGUAAUCCGGGUUGCGGACAGUGUCUGGUGGGUAGUUUGACUGGGGCGGUCUCCUCCUAAAGAGUAACGGAGGAGCACGAAGGUUGGCUAAUCCUGGUCGGACAUCAGGAGGUUAGUGCAAUGGCAUAAGCCAGCUUGACUGCGAGCGUGACGGCGCGAGCAGGUGCGAAAGCAGGUCAUAGUGAUCCGGUGGUUCUGAAUGGAAGGGCCAUCGCUCAACGGAUAAAAGGUACUCCGGGGAUAACAGGCUGAUACCGCCCAAGAGUUCAUAUCGACGGCGGUGUUUGGCACCUCGAUGUCGGCUCAUCACAUCCUGGGGCUGAAGUAGGUCCCAAGGGUAUGGCUGUUCGCCAUUUAAAGUGGUACGCGAGCUGGGUUUAGAACGUCGUGAGACAGUUCGGUCCCUAUCUGCCGUGGGCGCUGGAGAACUGAGGGGGGCUGCUCCUAGUACGAGAGGACCGGAGUGGACGCAUCACUGGUGUUCGGGUUGUCAUGCCAAUGGCACUGCCCGGUAGCUAAAUGCGGAAGAGAUAAGUGCUGAAAGCAUCUAAGCACGAAACUUGCCCCGAGAUGAGUUCUCCCUGAGACUUAG
rnacentral:rRNA from 1 species